rnacentral:rRNA from 1 species
GUCCACGCCCUAAACGAUGUCAACUAGUUGUUCGGUGAGGAGACUCAUUGAGUAACGCAGCUAACGCGUGAAGUUGACCGCCUGGGGAGUACGGCCGCAAGGUUAAACUCAAAGGAAUUGACGGGGACCCGCACAAGCGGUGGAUGAUGUGGAUUAAUUCGAUGCAACGCGAAAACCUUACCUACCCUUGACAUGUCAGGAAUCCUUGAGAGAUUGAGGAGUGCCCGAAAGGGAACCUGAACACAGGUGCUGCAUGGCUGUCGU